GUAGGUGGCGAGCGUUACUCGGAAUCACUAGGCGUAAAGCGCGGGUAGGCGGUUCGGAAAGUCUGUUGUGAAAGCUCCCGGCUUAACUGGGAGAGGUCAAUGGAUACUACCGGACUUGAGUGUGGGAGGGGUGCUGGAAUUCCCGGUGUAGCGGUGAAAUGCGUAGAGAUCGGGAGGAACACCAAUGGCGAAGGCAGGCACCUGGACCAAUACUGACGCUGAGCCGCGAAAGCUAGGGGAGCAAACAGGAUUAGAUACCCUGGUAGUCCUAGCUGUAAACGAUGCACACUAGAUAUGGGAGGUAUCGACCCCUUCCCGUGUCGCCGCUAACGCAUUAAGUGUGCCGCCUGGGGAGUACGGCCGCAAGGUUG
rnacentral:rRNA from 1 species